ensembl:lncRNA
GAAGCAGUUGAGCCCCAGAUUUAGACUGGCAGAAGAAGGCUUCAAGGACUUCAAAGACUCGGUGCAUCUGUGCCUAUGUGGCCCAUUAAUGGAUGUUACCUGGUCGCCUCCUCUUUGCUUCUGCUUUCCUUCAGCUCAUCAGGGAGCAACCAGCAGUCCAGUUGAGUCAGUCACACUGAAAGGGCUAUCUAACAUCCAGAUACCACAGGUGCUGGAGGAGGAGGACACUUCUGGAAAAGAAAUUUUGCAUCCAGGAACCAGCUGUGAUCUGAACUAGAAGACAUAGAGACGUGAGGGGCAAAAAAAAAAAAAAAAAAAAAAAAGGAAAAAGGAUGAAAAAGACAAAAAUACAGCCCAAAACACAAGGUCUGCCUGGGAGCUGUAUUUUAGCUUUCUUUACUGUAGGCUCAUCCAACCCAAGGAAGAAGGGCACUGCCAUCACAAACCAGACCUACAAGGUUAAUGCCUAUGUGAAAGAUAAAAGAGAGCAGGAGAGAAGCCAUAAACAUCCCACCUGGUGACCUUUGCCAUCUGGUUGUGGUGGUCCAGAAGGGAAGGAGCUGGGGGAACUGGUGGACACGUUGGCCAGGUGAUGCAGCAGAUCACUGCAUCCAGCUCCUGACAUGUCAGUGAGCCUCG